GGCCCAAUAGCUUAAUUUAGCUUACUGUAGAAUAUAGUGUAAGUUUGGUAGCACGAAGAUCUUUGAAUUCUUAAGAUUAGGUUCGAAGCCUAUUAUUCUAGAAAUAAGAGGAUUUAAACCUCUAUUAUUUACUCUAUCAAAGUAACUCUUUUAUCAGACAUAUUUCUUAUGUUUGGGGUGGGAUACUUGCGGUGAUAAUGGGUAAGGCGGCAUGUCAUAUACACAGGGCUAGGGUUAAUGGUAGAAAGUUUUUUCAUAGGAGGUGUAUUAGUUGGUCGUAGCAGAAUCGAGGGUAUGAUGCUCAGAUUCAUAGGAAAGAAAUGGUUAGGAGUGUUUUAAUGAUGAAGUUGAUAGAGUAGAGCUCUGGUAUGAGUGGGUUGUGAAAUGUGCUGAAAAAUAAGAUUGUUGUAAGAAUAUUUAUUAUAAUAAUAUUUGCGUACUCUGCUAGAAAGAAUAGGGCGAAAGGACCUGCUGCAUACUCUACGUUAAAUCCAGAGACUAGCUCGGAUUCUCCUUCAGUUAAGUCGAAGGGGGCUCGGUUUGUUUCUGCUAAGGUAGAGAUAAAUCAUAUUAUGGCCAGGGGUCAGGCAGGGAAAAUUAGUCAUAUGUGUUCUUGAGUAAUGAUAAGUAUGGAUAGUGUGAAGGAUCCAUUUAUUAGUAACACGGAAAGGAGGAUAAUUGCUAGUGUGACUUCAUAUGAAAUUGUCUGGGCAACAGCUUGGAGGGCUCCGAUUAGGGCGUAUUUGGAGUUUGAGGCUCAUCCUGAUCAGAGGAUGGAGUACACGGCGAGGCUUGAUAUUGCUAGUAUGAAUAGGACUCCCAAGUUUAUAUUAAUGAGUGGGUAGGGAGAACGGAAUGAGCAAAUGCCACAAGAGGGAACAGAGAAGCUGUUUCAAUUACAGCACUGCUCAGUCUAGAAGCUACCAAUGGGAUCAUACCACUCGCCCUCAGGAUGGAAACCAAAUUCUUUCCCACUCAGGCCUGGCACAAGUGGAUUCCUGCAGGUCACCUGGCGUCCCCCCCUCUCCUCCUGCUCCUCACAACUAGGACAAACUCCGCAGCUCUGCUCAUGUGGUUGCCUCUGCCUGGAAUGCUCUCCUAGUUCAAAUGUCACUUCCUCCAGGAAGUGACAACUGCAACCUGAUUUUCCCCGAUCUCUGCCACAAGGUCCCUAGUGCUGAGUCUACCACAGCUCUGUUUACAUAGUUUUGUAAUUAUAUAACAGGAGAGGAGACUUAAAAGUCAUCUGCAAUCUGGGCCAAUUGGGCUUAAGAAGAAGGUAGAGCUGUUCUUAGGGGAAAAAUGUUCUGGUUGGAGAAGGGCCCUAAGGAGGGCACUUUUGAUGAGAUGUCCCAGCCAGGCAUUAGAUGUGAGCUGAGUGGACAAGUUUAAGUGACUUCGUGAGAAGUUUCCUUCCCGGAGCUCUGCUGUCUCCCCUCUCCUUGCAGUUAGGAAAGGGCUAGGCCUGGGCUUUUGCGAUCAGAGUUAAAUCCUCGAUUUGGGAAUUCAAACGCUGAAAACGUUAAUUGAAAAAAAAAAAAAAAACCCAGGUUUUGAACUUCAAAAGCCUAAGCCCUGUAGGAUUGGAGCAUCAGCUCUAGAACAUAAAAACAGUAGAUCUGGAGAAACACAUGAUCGGAGCCACUUUUCAGCAGGGGAGACUAGAACUGAGCUGAAGGAGGGCAGCAGGGAGAGAAAAGGCUGGGUGAGGAAGAGACUAGACUCUGGUGAGUGCCUGGGAAACACAAAGGUCCUUGUGUUGUCAAUGUGGGAACUCAGGAGAGAAAGAAGGAAAGCGGCAAAGCCAAGCGUUGCUUUGGAAAGGUGGCAAAGAGGGGGGUAGCAUGGUUCUUCUGGGCUCCUGGCUCUUAGCCCCACGGCAUGGGAGCAAAUGAGUGUAUUCUGUGCACCCCAGGGUGGGGGGCGGCACAGGGGCGACCGGGAGGGAGAUGGAGCUGGAGAGGCUUGCGGUUGGGAAUAAGGGAAGACCUGGCCACCCUCUCAAGCACAUACAGCUCAGGACAUGCCCCCAAGAUCAAGCACCCCAAGCCCUAGACUCCCCACCACUGCCAUGACUCCUAGACCUCGACACGCACCUGGCAGAAAGAAGGAGGA
rnacentral:lncRNA from 1 species